AGGUUCCUGUGGAGGAUGAGCAAUUCUCAACUCCUUAAACAAGAACCAGUUUUAUGCUGAGUUUGUCCGGCACAGUGUGACUGGUGGCCUUGACCAGACACAAGGCUUCACGUACAGGCAGGAUAGCGGAGAUGCUGCCUGACGUCCUGAAGGCUUACGAUUGCCAGGUCCAUGAUGUCAACACAAGAUGUACUGUAGCCUUACUUACUGUACCAAUGUACCUGCUUCAGGAUAGAUCACAGUUUAAGAGAUGGAAGUAUUGAGUGCCUUGACAGAAUUGAUACGACUAUCAGUGCUUUUUGUCGCUUUCCAGAUUAUCAAUCACAAAUAUUCUUUGUACUGUUUACAAUAUUAUUACAACCACAGUGCUGUACUUUGUAAAUUUCCAUACUCUAAUUCCAGUACAAAAAAAAAUCUAAUCUGUUGCAGAAUGAACAGGGAGGCAUGUUCAUGUACUCCUCCAUUCCACUGUUUAUCUGCAGUAUUUUAUGCACUUGGUUGUCAGACGUUUUCUCAAGAAAAUGUCCUUUUCUAGCUCCUUCAGGUAGCCAUGAGUUUCGCUGUUAUUCCAGCUGGAGAAGGUGCAGACGGCCCUGUUGCUCUCCAAACAGUGGUCCAUGACACGGUAAGGCCUGCUCUGUUCAGUCCUGCAAGCACUGAUAUAGUGCUGGAAGAUGAAACUGUUAUGCACAAUCUCCCCUGGCUGACUGAAACAUUUGCUCUGUUGUU